UAGGGAAUAUUGCACAAUGGGCGAAAGCCUGAUGCAGCAACGCCGCGUGCGCGAUGACGGCCUUCGGGUUGUAAAGCGCUUUUCGGGGAGAUGAGGAAGGACAGUAUCCCCGGAAUAAGGCUCGGCUAACUACGUGCCAGCAGCCGCGGUAACAUGUAGGAGCCAAGCGUUAUCCGAAUUCACUGGGCGUAAAUCGCGUGUAGGCGGCUUGGUAAGUUGGAAGUGAAAGCUCCUGGGUAAACUGGGAGAGGACGUUCAAUACUGCCGGGCUAGAGGGCGACAGAGGGAGGUGGAAUUCCCGGUGUAGUGGUGAAAGGCGUGGAUAUCGGGAGGAACACCAGUGGCGAAAGCGGCCUCCUGGGUCGCACCUGACGCUCAGAC
rnacentral:rRNA from 1 species